rnacentral:lncRNA from 1 species
CAGGACAGGACCAUGAGAACUCGGAAUCCUUUGCCCCAACCUCCAUCCGCCAAUUCUGGUGCUCAGGUGAGGGGACGGUCAUCCUAAUUAAAACCACGUGGUGGGGUUUCGGCUGUGGAAAAUUGCUGGAGCCUCUCUCCUUCCUCGCACCUCCUCUCUCCUUAAACACACACAUGCAACUUUCUCUCCCUUUAUUUAAGCAAACAACUGAGAGACCAUGAUCAAGUGCAGCCCCUUCUUAUCUAAAUAGUCCCCAGAUGUAUAAAGACACAGGAGCUUUUUGCUUCUAUUUGGAGCUUGUUCUGGGACCCAUCUUCUCCAAACCUACAAAAAGCAGCCUUCGUCGGCCUUCACUCACAGAACUCCUAAUGCCUGGUGCCCCAGUAAAUCAGCCCUGCUCAGCAGGCUGUCCUCAAUUUAUCAGAGGUGGGAUUUCCCCUCCCCAAACUUCAGUUUUUACCCCUUUUCUUGGCCUCUCCCAUAACCUGAGCUUGAAACUGCACAGAUGUGAACAAAUGGAACAUGAAAAGUUCCAAUUCUGUUGUCAGAUUCUGAUCUUACUUUAGCGGUCGAGGAGAGCAUCUGUAUAAUUCCUUGAAGAGGUGUGGAUGCUACAGAGCUUGAGGGCAAGGCUGCUGUUCUUGGAGCUGCCAGUAUCACUUAGGCACAAGGCUCAAGCAGUCCUGAUCCCUGGGAUCCC